UUGAUCGCUUCAUCUGCAAUUGAUCGCGGGUCAUAAAGAAGAAUAAUGAAGCAUCGUUUAUUGAGCACAUCUACAUCUACAUCGCAGCGACGUAUUAACUAUGUCGGUGAGAUGUAUUAACAGUUCCUCAGUUGUUCGCGGGUCAUAAUGAAGCAUCGUUUAAUGAGCGUCUGGACGUCUUAUUAUGAUCACAAUCUAUACAUCGCAGCGACGUAUUAACUAUGUCGGUGAGAUCCUCAGUUGUUCGCGGGUCAUUUGGAAGCAUCGUUUAUUGAGCGUCUGGACGUCUUUACUGUACACACACACUGUUAAUGUGAUUGACAGUGAAUCUGAAUUCUGCCCAGCAACAUAUUCGUGCCACAGUCGAUAAAGGAAGGGGAAAAAUAGUUGCCAGACGAAGGGUUAGGGGUUAGGAUGGUUAGGAUGGAGACUGCUUCUUUGCUGCUGUCAAAUACCAUGAUAAGCACUAUUUCAUCUUAACGUAACGUUAAUACAAAUAUUUCGACGUUUUCGCAUGUGGAAGUUGGUGUUCAUCAGACUAAUAACAAGAUAUGUUAUGGAAGAUCAGAAAACGUCGGCAGGAGGUGGGAGAGAAGGCAAUGCAGAGAUGAAGGAUAUCAUACCACAAUAAUAGUUGUGUGUAUAAGCCUGAUCAACAAGUGAAAAGAGUCAGAUAAGAGGAAAGAGUUUGAAAACUGAUUUGACGACCACUGCUGAAUUGGCCUGCUAAGAGGAAGAGGCACUAAUGAUUCCAGAAGAGGAAGCCAAAGAAGACCUACACAGACUUUGAAAUGGUACAGGCCAAAAGUUUGGACACACCUUCUCA